rnacentral:rRNA from 1 species
GAUGAACGCUGGCGGCGUGCCUAAUACAUGCAAGUCGAGCGAACAGACGAGUAGCUUUCUCCUCUGACGUUAGCGGCGGACGGGUGAGUAACAUGUGGAUAACAUACUUUUAAGACUAGGAUAACUUCGGGAAACCGGCGCAAAUACCGGAUUAUAUAAUGAACCGCAUGGUUCAUUAUUGAAAGACGGUUUUGCUGUCACUUAUAGAUGGAUCCGGGCCGCAUUAGCUAGUUGGUAAGGUAACGGCUUACCAAUGCAACGAUGCGUAGCCUACCUGAGAGGGUGAGCGGCCCCCCUGGAACUGAACCACGGCCCAGACUACACCGGGAGGCAGCGGUAGAGAAUGUUCUGCAAUGGGCGAAAGGCGGACGGAGCCCAGCCACGUGGGUGAUAAGGAGCUUGGGAUAUGGAUACUCUGCUAUUAGGGAAGAACAAAUGUGUAAGUAACGCUGCAAGUCUUGAAGGUACCUAAUCAGAAAGCAACGGCUAACUACGUG